rnacentral:rRNA from 1 species
AUAGCUCACUAGUCGAGUGACUCUGCGCCGAAAAUGUACCGGGGCUAAAUACACCACCGAAGCUGCGAAUUGAUACCAAUGGUAUCAGUGGUAGGGGAGCGUUCUAAGUGCAGUGAAGUCAGACCGGAAGGACUGGUGGAGCGCUUAGAAGUGAGAAUGCCGGUAUGAGUAGCGAAAGACGGGUGAGAAUCCCGUCCACCGAAUGCCUAAGGUUUCCUGAGGAAGGCUCGUCCGCUCAGGGUUAGUCAGGACCUAAGCCGAGGCCGACAGGCGUAGGCGAUGGACAACAGGUUGAUAUUCCUGUACCACCUCUUUAUCGUUUGAGCAAUGGAGGGACGCAGAAGGAUAGAAGAAGCGUGCGAUUGGUUGUGCAC